rnacentral:rRNA from 1 species
UCCGUAGGUGAACCUGCGGAAGGAUCAUUACCGAGUUAGGGUUCGUCCAACGAGCCCGACCUCCCAACCCUUUGUCUAUCUUACCUUGUCGUUGCUUCGGCGAACCGGCCGUGACCAACUGGUCGUGGCCGCCGGGGGUCCCCCCCCUGGAGAGCGUCCGCCGAUGGCCCAACCACAAACUCUUGUACCAAACCAUGUCCUCUGAAUUACUUGAUUAAAAUCAAAAAACAAAACUUUCAACAACGGAUCUCUUGGUUCUGGCAUCGAUGAAGAACGCAGCGAAAUGCGAUAAGUAAUGCGAAUUGCAGAAUUUCCGUGAGUCAUCGAAUCUUUGAACGCACAUUGCGCCCACUGGUAUUCCGGUGGGCAUGCCUGUUCGAGCGUCAUUAUCCUCCCUCAAACCUCGGGUUUGGUGUUGGACCCAAGUUGUGUGAGCAACUGGUCUCAAAGACAAUGACGGCGUCCGUGGGACCCUCGGUGCAACGAGCUUUUUAACGAGCACGCGUCGAGUUUCAAGGACCUUCCGGGCCGGUCUCCUUCUUUUAUUUACAAAGGUUGACCUCGGAUCAGGUAGGAAUACCCGCUGAACUUAAGCAUAUCAAUAAGCGGAGG